rnacentral:rRNA from 1 species
UGUAAGCGUAUACCAAAGUUGUUGCAGUUAAAACGCUCGUAGUCGGAAUUUGGCAGUUCCGGAUGUGUGCACGUCGUGUGCGCACUUCGCGGGGAUUGCUUUUGUGGUCUUGCGUAGGAUGAGGCACUUUUAUUAGUGAACGUCCUCACGCAACCACUUUUUACUGUGAGAAAAUCAGAGUGCUCAAAGCAGGCAUUUGCCGUGAAUGUAUUAGCAUGGAAUAAUAGAAUAGGACUUGGUUCUAUUUUGUUGGUUUGUUGGGACUGAGUAAUGAUUAAGAGGGACAGUUGGGGGCAUUUGUAUUUCGGUGCUAGAGGUGAAAUUCUUAGAUUACCGAAAGACAAACUGCUGCGAGAGCGUCUGCCAAGGAUGUUUUCAUUGA